rnacentral:rRNA from 1 species
UACGUAGGUGGCAAGCGUUGUCCGGAUUUACUGGGCGUAAAGCGCGCGCAGGCGGUCGUUCAAGGCGCGUGUGAAAGCCCCCGGCUCAACUGGGGAGGGUCACGCGAUACUGAUCAACUUGAAGGCAGGAGAGGGUAGUGGAAUUCCCGGUGUAGUGGUGAAAUGCGUAGAUAUCGGGAGGAACACCAGUGGCGAAGGCGACUACCUGGCCUGUUCUUGACGCUGAGGCGCGAAAGCUGGGGGAGCAAACGGG